rnacentral:rRNA from 1 species
CAAGCGUGAGGUAAGAGCAUUUGGUGGAUGCCUUGGCAUGUACAGGCGAUGAAGGACGUGGCACGCUGCGAUAAGCGUCGGGGAGUUGUGAGCAAACUUUGAUCCGGCGAUUUCCGAAUGGGGAAACCCACCUUCACCAUUUCUCUUAGUUGCUGAGAAAUCAGUAAGUGAGUGAGGUGGAUAAGGUAUCACUAAGCUGAAUAAAAUAGGCUUUGGUGAAGCGAACCCGGGGAACUGAAACAUCUCAGUACCUGGAGGAAAAGACAUCAACCGAGAUUCCGUUAGUAGUGGCGAGCGAACGCGGACCAGGCCAGUGCCCUAUCUUCAACUAGCAGAACACUUUGGAAAGAGUGGCCAUAGCGGGUGACAGCCCCGUAUGCAAAAGUGAUGGAUAGGGACUUGAGUAGGGCGGGACACGUGAAAUCCUGUCUGAACAUAGGGGGACCACCCUCUAAGCCUAAAUACUCGUACAUGACCGAUAGCGAACUAGUACCGUGAGGGAAAGGUGAAAAGCACCCCGAUGAGGGGAGUGAAACAGUACCUGAAACCGAAUGCUUACAAGCAGUUGGAGCCUCUUUAGGGGGUGACAGCGUACCUCUUGCAUAAUGGGUCAGUGACUUAAUGUACCAUGCGAGCUUAAGCCGUUAGGUGUAGGCGCAGCGAAAGCGAGUCUGAAUAGGGCGACAGAGUAUGGUGUAUUAGACCCGAAACCCGGUGAUCUAGGCAUGACCAGGCUGAAGGUGCGGUAACACGCACUGGAGGGCCGAACCGUUCAAUGUUGAAAAAUUGUCGGAUGAGUUGUGUUUAGGGGUGAAAGGCCAAUCAAACCGGGAAAUAGCUGGUUCUCCGCGAAAUCUAUUGAGGUAGAGCGUCGGAUGUAUGCCGUUGGGGGUAGAGCACUGGAUGGUUGCGGGGGUCGCGAGAUCUACCAAUACUAACCAAACUCCGAAUACCAACGAGACUUAUCCGGCAGACAGACGGCGGGUGCUAAGGUCCGUCGUCAAAAGGGAAACAGCCCUAACCUACAGCUAAGGUCCCCAAGUCAUCACUAAGUGGGAAAGCAUGUGGGAAUCCCAAAACAACCAGGAGGUUGGCUUAGAAGCAGCCAUCCUUUAAAGAAAGCGUAACAGCUCACUGGUCUAAACAAGGGUUCCUGCGGCGAAGAUGUAACGGGGCUAAAGUGAUGCACCGAAGCUUAGGGUGUGGUUCAUUGAACCACGCGGUAGCGGAGCGUUCCGUAGGCCGUUGAAGCGAUCUGGUAAUGGGUCGUGGAGGUAUCGGAAGUGCGAAUGCUGACAUGAGUAGCGAUAAGGAGUGUGAGAUGCACUCCCGCCGAAAGACCAAGGGUUCCUGCUUAAAGCUAAUCUGAGCAGGGUGAGCCGGCCCCUAAGACGAGCCCGAAGGGGGUAGUCGAUGGGAACCACGUUAAUAUUCGUGGGCCUGGUGGUGUGUGACGGAUCACGUAGAUUGUUCGGCCUUAUUGGAUUGGUCGGGCCUUUGAGUGGUUCCAGGAAAUAGCCCCACCGUAUAGACCGUACCCGAAACCGACACAGGUGGUCAGGUAGAGUAUACCAAGGCGCUUGAGAGAAGUAUCCUGAAGGAACUCGGCAAAUUGCCUCCGUACCUUCGGAAGAAGGAGGCCCCAUAGUUGCGCAAGCAGUUGUGGGGGGCACAGGCCAGGGGGUAGCGACUGUUUAGCAAAAACACAGGACUCUGCUAAGUCGGCUUCAAGACGACGUAUAGGGUCUGACGCCUGCCCGGUGCCGGAAGGUUAAGAGGAGGAGUGCAAGCUCCGAAUUGAAGCCCCGGUAAACGGCGGCCGUAACUAUAACGGUCCUAAGGUAGCGAAAUUCCUUGUCGGGUAAGUUCCGACCUGCACGAAUGGCGUAACGACUUCCCCACUGUCUCCAGGAUAUGCUCAGCGAAAUUGAAUUCUCCGUGAAGAUGCGGAGUACCCGCGGUUAGACGGAAAGACCCCGUGCACCUUUACUGCAGCUUCAGAGUGGCAUUAGGAAAGAAUUGUGUAGCAUAGGUGGGAGGCUUUGAAGCGUCGGCGCCAGCUGACGUGGAGCCAUAGGUGAAAUACCACCCUGUUGUUUUCUGAUGUCUAACCCAGGACCGUUAUCCGGUUCGGGGACCCUCUGUGGCGGGUAGUUUGACUGGGGCGGUCGCCUCCUAAAGAGUAACGGAGGCGCGCGAUGGUAGGCUCAGGCCGGUUGGAAACCGGCUGUUAGAGUGCAAUGGCAUAAGCCUGCCUGACUGCGAGAUCGACGGAUCGAGCAGAGACGAAAGUCGGUCAUAGUGAUCCGGUGGUCCCUUGUGGAAGGGCCAUCGCUCAACGGAUAAAAGGUACGCCGGGGAUAACAGGCUGAUGAUUCCCAAGAGCUCAUAUCGACGGAAUCGUUUGGCACCUCGAUGUCGGCUCAUCACAUCCUGGGGCUGGAGCAGGUCCCAAGGGUUUGGCUGUUCGCCAAUUAAAGUGGUACGUGAGCUGGGUUCAGAACGUCGCGAGACAGUUUGGUCCCUAUCUGCCGUGGGCGUCGAUACUUGAGAGGAGUUGUCCCUAGUACGAGAGGACCGGGAUGAACAUGCCUCUGGUGUACCUGUCGUUCCGCCAGGAGCGCAGCAGGGUAGCUAUGCAUGGACGGGAUAACCGCUGAAAGCAUCUAAGCGGGAAGCCUCCCUCAAGAUAAGGUAUCUUCGAGUCGUGAUAGACCAUCACGUUGAUAGGCCGGGUGUAGAAGUGGGGUAACCCAUGGAGCUAACCGGUCCUAAUAACUCUGAUCAUGCUUGAC